ensembl:lncRNA
AUGACAAAGAAAUAUGGGUUAUUUGCGAAAUGUCUGAAACCUAUUUACCGAAAUAGCAACCAGGAUGUUGUAGAUUUCAAUCAGAUGAGAAACUUAUACAUUUCAUGGUCCUGGUCGCUAGUUGUUUCAAACGGCGCUGGAACGGCAGAGGGCCUCUCAGUUCUGUGGCGCACAACGGUAUUGUCCAACACAUGCCUGAGCGAAAAGAUCGACCUCGAAAAGAGGCUUAGAGACGAUAGAAUAACGGACAGGAGGACAAAAUCCUGGUGCACUUCUGCAUCAACAUACUACGUGGACGCUGGAAACGACCACCGACAGAGAACUGAUGUGAAUAAUCAUAUGGAAGCUGAAUGCUGUUCAUUUAGUGCAACAUCCACAACAGUCUGCAGAAAUUUACAUUCCAGAGAGGAGGUGAAGUGGGUGUCUUUAUAUUCCAAAACUGCCCCGACUUUAAGAAUGCAUCAUGAUGAAGUGUUAUGUGUCCUAAGAGGCACUGCAAGCAGAUAGUCUCAGAUUGUGUAGCUAGAGCGGACCCUGACCGGCAUCGUGCACAGAGGGACCCAUGGCUUGCCCCUUUGUGUCCAAACCCAUCUCAUUUAUGUGAGGGUCUCAUUCCACUCUGAACCCACCCUUACCGAUCUGCCAGCGUUGUUUAGAUACAGGAAAGAAAGAAGGGUAGUAAAGGAUUUUCUUGGGGUUGAUGAGAUUGGGUGACCUAAUCAAGUCUUUGUCUCAUCUUUAUGCAGUUUGUUCAAAGUAGAUACAACUCAACUCCAAAGAUGUGGAUGUAAACUCAAUAAAGUGAAAUCAAAUAAGCA